CCCGACCACCGGUCCGCGGACCGGCCCAGCGGUUACCGGGCCGCACAGAGACAGACCGAGAUCCUUUAUCGUGUCGUAAUUUUGCUGGUGUAAGAGUAACGAAUGGACUAAACGUAUGACUUUAAUAAACGCGCCGCUGGACGGGCAGCCACGACUUUCGAAGAUGAAGCGAUUUGGACAAGAGAAGUUCCUCCCCGAGCGACCAGGGGGAGGAAGCUGUUGCACGAGGUUUGUCGUCCAAAAACAAGGCGAUACAAGAAACCCGAUGAAGCAUUUGAACAAGCAGCACCCAAGGGAUCAAGUAGGAAAGCAUGAAAGUGUGAGCACAGUUUGCACAUCCCGUCCGCGUCCACAGGAGCAGUUUCGUCGCUAACAAGUAGCCUAGCCGGGAGCCACCGGAAGAAAGCAACAAUCAACCGUGUCGUCUUUUACAAGUCGCAGUGAUGCUAACGCCGUAGGUAGGAUCAUAACUUUAAAAUUAUUCUCUUGACACGACAAAUUCUUAGCAUAUUGAAUUACUCCACCAUCAUCUUUGUGGUCACUACCGGUGCUUUAAAACUGGUCAUUUCAAAGCGAUGAAAAGUUUACUUGUCUCAACUGAACUGGUCCGUAACACAAACAUGGUUGGGGACCCCGGCCAGAGAGGCACAAUCAUUAAAAACUGCCCAAAUACAUUUGGACUCGGCUCGAAAACUGGGUGGCGACCGGAACAUUCUGAUUGCACAGUAAAGUUACAUUACCAAAGAGCAAAUCAUGGCGUGUGGCGUUCGAGAGCUUUCUACUUCAUGACAUUAGUCUGUCUUUAAUCAGAGCAGCAUACUGCUGCCAGAGUCAAUCGUCAUCAAUGGCUCAAAAGGUCGCGGGAGGAGAAAAAAACCCCAAACCUAAAUCCUCGGCCUCCCACACCACCACAAGACGACCACUCAAGAGAAUCUUUCCGGGACAUCUUGGGGCCUUUUCUGACUUUGAUUGCGAGGGCGGGAAAACACUCAACCCUGCGCUGACUGCACGCAUGGAGCCCGCUUCAGACGAAGAGGACCACCUGCCGGUUCGUCUGUUUGCGGCCGCCGAUUGGCUGCAAGAAACAACGCGGAGACCUUCUGCGUCGCUGCCACCAUUUUUCUGACUCCACUUUUCUCAUUCAGAGAGCCCCCCCCCCCACACCCCCACCCCAUCCAUGGUCUUGCUCUCCUGUGGAAAACCACGUCUGCUUUAGUGCUUUGCAUUCCUGUGGUUGGACUGGCACUUCCUGCCAUGAGCGAAAAGUACAGCAGGAGAAAGGAACAUUCCUUCAACCCUUGUCGAUUUUUCAAGACUGUUUUUCGACCUCUCGCAUUCCCCUGACAUUUCUGCUUCUGAUGAAACGGUCCCAGUUUGCGUUGUAGUGAAAA